UACGGAGGGUGCAAGCGUUAUCCGGAUUCACUGGGCUUAAAGGGCGCGUAGGCGGGCAGGUAAGUCAGUGGUGAAAUCUCCGAGCUUAACUCGGAAACUGCCGUUGAUACUAUUUGUCUUGAAUAUUGUGGAGGUAAGCGGAAUAUGUCAUGUAGCGGUGAAAUGCUUAGAUAUGACAUAGAACACCAAUUGCGAAGGCAGCUUACUACACAACGAUUGACGCUGAGGCACGAAAGCGUGGGGAUCAAACAGG
rnacentral:rRNA from 1 species